AACGAACGCUGGCGGCAGGCUUAACACAUGCAAGUCGAACGCAUCGCAAGAUGAGUGGCAGACGGGUGAGUAACGCGUGGGAAUCUACCCAGUUCUACGGAACAACAGUUGGAAACGACUGCUAAUACCGUAUACGCCCUACGGGGGAAAGAUUUAUCGGAAUUGGAUGAGCCCGCGUAAGAUUAGCUAGUUGGGGGGGUAAUGGCCUACCAAGGCGACGAUCUUUAGCUGGUCUGAGAGGAUGAUCAGCCACACUGGGACUGAGACACGGCCCAGACUCCUACGGGAGGCAGCAGUGGGGAAUAUUGGACAAUGGGCGCAAGCUUGAUCCAGCCAUGCCGCGUGAGUGAUGAAGGCCUUAGGGUUGUAAAGCUCUUUCACCGAUGAAGAUAAUGACGGUAGUCGGAGAAGAAGCCCCGGCUAACUUCGUGCCAGCCGCCGCGGUAACAC
rnacentral:rRNA from 1 species